CGCUCGCUCGCUCAAUUGCAGAUUUUGCGUUGUAUGUUCUUCAUCAAUGUUGAUCGAAGCUCAAACAACCCUCGAUUUGAAGCUCAAGCACACAGAACUCAACCGCAGCAGUUUGCUUUAGCUGUUCUUCAUCAAUCGCAACGAUCUCUGUUCUUCAUCGAUCUCGAGGCUAAUCGAGUGAGGACGUGGCACCAGAUAGUCCAGAAUCCGAUCUCUUCGUAUAUUACUGCAAGCACUGCGAAUCUCAUGUCCUCAUCAAUGAUCCAAAAUCCAAAAUCGAUUUGUUCUAGUUGAUCUCUCUUGCUCUUAUCUCAGAGUCUGAGUAUGAGCUCUAUCUUGAGGGGAUAGAAGGAUUGUUUAAUUUGGAAAGGGGAAAACCAUGGAAUUUUUGAAGGUUACCACAAUUUGGGAGACCAUCUUCUUUGUUAUAGUGUGGACUCUUUGGAAUUCAAGAAACAGUGUCACAUUCAGAAA